CUGUAAUUAGGUCAGUGUAAGUUAAAGUAGGGCUGAGAGAUGAAUAAAGUAGAUUUUCUCCUCUAGAACACACUGCAGUUUAAUUUCACUUCUUUCUACAGUGUGCGAUGAAGGUGGACUUAACUUUUAAAGGCAAAGAGACAAACCACUGCCAGGAUAAAUGAGAAGACGCAGAGGGGGCAACUGGCACCACACAGGAGAGGAAAUGCUUUCUGGCUGGUUCCUAAUUUUCAUAUCCGGGUUAUCGUCAGAAAUCAUUUUCAGAGGCCAAAAGCUAUCGUCAAGUGAACACCGAGCAAGAAUUCAGAACAAUAACUUAUGUGGAGGUGAUCUAAAAAUGCGGCUCACUGGUUUGAUCAUUGACUUAUGGUCAGCUAGUUUGCAUCUAUAGACCUGUCCUCCCUGCUAGGAAAUAGUGCCACUCACAAUGGAAUGGACCCUCCCACAUUAGUCAUCACUCAAUGCAGUCUCUCAUGAGCAUGGCCACAGACA
rnacentral:lncRNA from 1 species